rnacentral:rRNA from 1 species
UGAGGAAUAUUGGUCAAUGGACGCAAGUCUGAACCAGCCAUGCCGCGUGAAGGAUGAAGGCCUUCUGGGUUGUAAACUUCUUUUAUGUGGGAAGAAACCUCUGUUUUCUAAUAGAGUUGACGGUACCAUAGGAAUAAGCACCGGCUAACUCCGUGCCAGCAGCCGCGGUAAUACGGAGGGUGCAAGCGUUAUCCGGAUUUACUGGGUUUAAAGGGUGUGUAGGCGGGCUAUUAAGUCAGUGGUGAAAUCUCCGGGCUCAACCCGGAAACUGCCAUUGAUACUAUUAGUCUUGAAUUCUGUUGAGGUAGGCGGAAUAAGUCAUGUAGCGGUGAAAUGCAUAGAUAUGACUUAGAACACCAAUUGCGAAGGCAGCUUACUAAGCAGAUAUUGACGCUGAGGCACGAAAGCGUGGGGAUCAAACAGGAUUAGAUACCCCGGUAGUCC